GAUGAACGCUGGCGGCGUGCCUAAUACAUGCAAGUCGAGCGAACAGAUAAGGAGCUUGCUCCUUUGAAGUUAGCGGCGGACGGGUGAGUAACGCGUGGGUAACCUACCUAUAAGACUGGGAUAACUUCGGGAAACCGGAGCUAAUACCGGAUAACAUUUAGAACCGCAUGGUCCUAAAGUGAAAGAUGGUUUUGCCAUCACUUAUAGAUGGACCCGCGCCGUAUUAGCUAGUUGGUAAGGUAACGGCUUACCAAGGCGACGAUACGUAGCCGACCUGAGAGGGUGAUCGGCCACACUGGAACUGAGACACGGUCCAGACUCCUACGGGAGGCAGCAGUAGGGAAUCUUCCGCAAUGGGCGAAAGCCUGACGGAGCAACGCCGCGUGAGUGAUGAAGGGUUUCGGCUCGUAAAACUCUGUUAUUAGGGAAGAACAAAUGUGUAAGUAACUGUGCACAUCUUGACGGUACCUAAUCAGAAAGCCACGGCUAACUACGUGCCAGCAGCCGCGGUAAUACGUAGGUGGCAAGCGUUAUCCGGAAUUAUUGGGCGUAAAGCGCGCGUAGGCGGUUUCUUAAGUCUGAUGUGAAAGCCCACGGCUCAACCGUGGAGGGUCAUUGGAAACUGGGAAACUUGAGUGCAGAAGAGGAAAGUGGAAUUCCAUGUGUAGCGGUGAAAUGCGCAGAGAUAUGGAGGAACACCAGUGGCGAAGGCGACUUUCUGGUCUGUAACUGACGCUGAUGUGCGAAAGCGUGGGGAUCAAACAGGAUUAGAUACCCUGGUAGUCCACGCCGUAAACGAUGAGUGCUAAGUGUUAGGGGGUUUCCGCCCCUUAGUGCUGCAGCUAACGCAUUAAGCACUCCGCCUGGGGAGUACGACCGCAAGGUUGAAACUCAAAGGAAUUGACGGGGACCCGCACAAGCGGUGGAGCAUGUGGUUUAAUUCGAAGCAACGCGAAGAACCUUACCAAAUCUUGACAUCCUUUGAAAACUCUAGAGAUAGAGCCUUCCCCUUCGGGGGACAAAGUGACAGGUGGUGCAUGGUUGUCGUCAGCUCGUGUCGUGAGAUGUUGGGUUAAGUCCCGCAACGAGCGCAACCCUUAAGCUUAGUUGCCAUCAUUAAGUUGGGCACUCUAGGUUGACUGCCGGUGACAAACCGGAGGAAGGUGGGGAUGACGUCAAAUCAUCAUGCCCCUUAUGAUUUGGGCUACACACGUGCUACAAUGGACAAUACAAAGGGCAGCUAAACCGCGAGGUCAUGCAAAUCCCAUAAAGUUGUUCUCAGUUCGGAUUGUAGUCUGCAACUCGACUACAUGAAGCUGGAAUCGCUAGUAAUCGUAGAUCAGCAUGCUACGGUGAAUACGUUCCCGGGUCU
rnacentral:rRNA from 1 species